CUUUAAAGCGUAACACACACUGUUAUCAGCAGGACGAGUUGAAAACUUUGGUCGCGAGAGCACGGACUAAUUCAGAGAAGAAAGAAGCAAAAGGUGGAUUUUAAGUGAAACCUAAAAGUUGUAUCUGGCGAAGAUCACCUGACUCCAGCAAACAUGGAUGGAAAACCCACCUGUGACCAGUGUGGGAAGAGUUUC